CGUAAAGACCGCGCAGGUGGUUACUUAAGUCUGAUGUGAAAGGCUACGGCUCAACCGUAGUAAGCCUUUGAAACUGGGGAACUUGAGUGCAGGAGAGGAGAGUGGAAUUCCUAGUGUAGCGGUGAAAUGCGUAGAUAUUAGGAGGAACACCAGUUGCGAAGGCGGCUCUCUGGACUGUAACUGACACUGAGGCACGAAAGCGUGGGGAGCA
rnacentral:rRNA from 1 species